CGCGAGGUGGGGAGGGGUGGGGAAGCGCGCCCCGCCCUGCCGAGCGUCGAGCGUGUCGAACCGCCGCCGCCAGCCCUGAGAAGCGGAGGGCCGAGAAGGCGUCUGCCAGUCUCCCAGAUGAGGCCGCAUUGGAGUUUCUGUGUCAGGAAGGUUUCUAUGUUCAUCUGCCAGUUCCAGCCAUUUCCAUAGGUGUGGAGGAGCUCUUGCUGUGCUGUGUGUAAAGGCGUGGUUACACCGAAGCAGGAGAGCAGGGUGAAGAGCCAGCUCUUCCUCCUUACGCAGCAUUUGUGCACGCCCUCAGCACCCCACCAAACAGCCAGAAAGAAGGCAGAAGGUUCAGACCCCACCCAAAGUAUGGUCCCCUCCACUUGGUGGAGCCCAACAGGGCUUUCCAGUGCUGCAGGCAGGAAUGCACCCCCCAACUGCUAUCCUGUGUGCAUGCAGCCGGCAAGAAGGCUCAGGAGGAUGGAGCUGAGUGAGCAGAGAUGGCUGAAAGGCAGAGAGCCUCUCCUACUGCUGUUAGCACUGAUUUUCUUAUUACAACAGCACUAAUAACAGUGACAAAGAUGAUCAUUACUGUGUUGUAGGCAUUUUUCUCUCAUCAUAAUACUGUUUCUCUACUAAGAAAUGUAAUGAUCUCCCCCACAACAGCUUCAGACCCGAUUGCUGCAAUGUGGACAUUGCUCAGGUGCAGCCUACCUGGCCAGGCAGCCCUUUUUCCCAUUGGAUAUGCAGGGCAGGGAGUGUUGCAUUGUCAAUAUGCAAAAUUUUCAAAAACAGAGGAGGGAGAUGUCAAUAUAUUAAGGGUUUUCUGUCCCUGCUCUGUAAUUAAGAGGGAGGGCAGACGAGGU